rfam:Microgenomates (Beckwithbacteria) bacterium GW2011_GWB1_47_15 TX85_C0008, whole genome shotgun sequence.
GGGGAUGAUUUGAUUCGACGAGAUUGGCUCUUUGACACCUGCAAGCAGACUUUGGUCAGUAGUCUUAAAACAUCGACCAAAAAACAGCUGUCAACACAAUUGCCAGCAAAGUAAAGACUUUCAUUGCGGAAGCAUUUGAAGUUUUUACUCCUUCUCGCUUAGCUUUGGCUGUAGCGUAAGGCAUUCUGGCCCACUUUGUUUGCGGAGUCGGGUCAGGGUGUAAACAAACACAAACCGUAAGCUAGCAGUUGACUCGGGCUAGCCCAAAUUAAGAGUCAAACUUUUCUCCCACGAAGCCUCGGCGGAGUGGGAUAAGCUUGUAGACGGUUAAAAGACUUUUUCUCGGACGAGGGCUCAUUACCCUCCAUCUCCACCC